rnacentral:rRNA from 1 species
GUAACACUAACUGGAGGACCGAACCGACUAAUGUUGAAAAAUUAGCGGAUGACUUGUGGCUGGGGGUGAAAGGCCAAUCAAACCGGGAGAUAGCUGGUUCUCCCCGAAAGCUAUUUAGGUAGCGCCUCGUGAAUUCAUCUCCGGGGGUAGAGCACUGUUUCGGCAAGGGGGUCAUCCCGACUUACCAACCCGAUGCAAACUGCGAAUACCGGAGAAUGUUAUCACGGGAGACACACGGCGGGUGCUAACGUCCGUCGUGAAGAGGGAAACAACCCAGACCGCCAGCUAAGGUCCCAAAGUCAUGGUUAAGUGGGAAACGAUGUGGGAAGGCCCAGACAGCCAGGAUGUUGGCUUAGAAGCAGCCAUCAUUUAAAGAAAGCGUAAUAGCUCACUGGUCGAGUCGGCCUGCGCGGAAGAUGUAACGGGGCUAAACCAUGCACCGAAGCUGCGGCAGCGACGCUGAUGCGUUGUUGGGUAGGGGAGCGUUCUGUAAGCCUGCGAAGGUGUGCUGUGAGGCAUGCUGGAGGUAUCAGAAGUGCGAAUGCUGACAUAAGUAACGAUAAAGCGGGUGAAAAGCCCGCUCGCCGGAAGACCAAGGGUUCCUGUCCAACGUUAAUCGGGGCAGGGUGAGUCGACCCCUAAGGCGAGGCCGAAAGGCGUAGUCGAUGGGAAACAGGUUAAUAUUCCUGUGCUUGGUGUUACUGCGAAGGGGGGACGGAGAAGGCUAUGUUGGCCGGGCGACGGUUGUCCCGGUUUAAGCGUGUAGGCUGGUUUUCCAGGCAAAUCCGGAAAAUCAAGGCUGAGGCGUGAUGACGAGGCACUACGGUGCUGAAGCAACAAAUGCCCUGCUUCCAGGAAAAGCCUCUAAGCAUCAGGUAACAUCAAAUCGUACCCCAAACCGACACAGGUGGUCAGGUAGAGAAUACCAAGGCGCUUGAGAGAACUCGGGUGAAGGAACUAGGCAAAAUGGUGCCGUAACUUCGGGAGAAGGCACGCUGAUAUGUAGGUGAAGUCCCUCGCGGAUGGAGCUGAAAUCAGUCGAAGAUACCAGCUGGCUGCAACUGUUUAUUAAAAACACAGCACUGUGCAAACACGAAAGUGGACGUAUACGGUGUGACGCCUGCCCGGUGCCGGAAGGUUAAUUGAUGGGGUCAGCGCAAGCGAAGCUCUUGAUCGAAGCCCCGGUAAACGGCGGCCGUAACUAUAACGGUCCUAAGGUAGCGAAAUUCCUUGUCGGGUAAGUUCCGACCUGCACGAAUGGCGUAAUGAUGGCCAGGCUGUCUCCACCCGAGACUCAGUGAAAUUGAACUCGCUGUGAAGAUGCAGUGUACCCGCGGCAAGACGGAAAGACCCCGUGAACCUUUACUAUAGCUUGACACUGAACAUUGAGCCUUGAUGUGUAGGAUAGGUGGGAGGCUUUGAAGUGUGGACGCCAGUCUGCAUGGAGCCGACCUUGAAAUACCACCCUUUAAUGUUUGAUGUUCUAACGUGGACCCGUAAUCCGGGUUGCGGACAGUGUCUGGUGGGUAGUUUGACUGGGGCGGUCUCCUCCUAAAGAGUAACGGAGGAGCACGAAGGUUGGCUAAUC